rnacentral:rRNA from 1 species
AUGAACGCUGGCGGCGUGCCUAAUACAUGCAAGUCGAGCGAACGGACGAGAAGCUUGCUUUUCUGAUGUUAGCGGCGGACGGGUGAGUAACACGUGGAUAACCUACCUAUAAGACUGGGAUAACUUCGGGAAACCGGAGCUAAUACCGGAUAAUAUUUUGAACCGCAUGGUUCAAAAGUGAAAGACGGUCUUGCUGUCACUUAUAGAUGGAUCCGCGCUGCAUUAGCUAGUUGGUAAGGUAACGGCUUACCAAGGCAACGAUGCAUAGCCGACCUGAGAGGGUGAUCGGCCACACUGGAACUGAGACACGGUCCAGACUCCUAUGGGAGGCAGCAGUAGGGAAUCUUCCGCAAUGGGCGAAAGCCUGACGGAGCAACGCCGCGUGAGUGAUGAAGGUCUUCGGAUCGUAAAACUCUGUUAUUAGGGAAGAACAUAUGUGUAAGUAACUGUGCACAUCUUGACGGUACCUAAUCAGAAAGCCACGGCUAACUACGUG